UACGUAGGGGGCAAGCGUUGUCCGGAAUCAUUGGGCGUAAAGAGCGCGUAGGCGGUCCGGUAAGUCCGCUCUGAAAGUCCGGGGCUCAACCCCGGGAGGCGGGCGGAUACUGUCGGGCUAGAGUCCGGAAGAGGCGAGUGGAAUUCCCGGUGUAGCGGUGAAAUGCGCAGAUAUCAGGAGGAACACCAAUGGCGAAGGCAGCUCGCUGGGACGGUACUGACGCUGAGGCGCGAAAGCGUGGGGAGCAAACAGG
rnacentral:rRNA from 1 species